AAAACCUAACAAUGCACUUUACCGUUGUGAAUGCGUAAUGAUGUGUUCAUCAGGGGGCUUAAAAACCCUUGGGGCUACAAUAUCCACUUCUCGGCACCCAUUAUAGAGGCUAGAGUAUGUCUUACGUGACAGUAAAAUGUGAAGCAGGAAUGCCGUCUUUAAAGAGAAAAGGCAACACCCAGGAGAUACAGGAAUCGCACAGUCAUGCUGACUUAAAAUACACAUGUAAACACUCACUGUGCCCCUGGUGUCCUGUCCAUAAAUAAAAUGGCUUGCUCAAGAAACCAGGUUUGAAGUGGAGGUUUGCCGUCACUCCCCAGAUCUGUAUGGAAGUGUCAGAAGUGGAGUCAGCUAGUUAGUUCACCCCAAUAGGUACUGAGAGCUAUUAAGUCUGUACCACUGUGUCGGGAGAGACCAGGAGGAAUCGAGCAGGUAUGAGUCUUUCUUUUUUUCUUUUUUUUUUUUUUUUUUAGACGGAAUUUUGCCCUUGUUGCCCAGGCUGGAGUGCAGUGGCACGAUCUCGGCUCACCGCAACCUCCGCCUCCAGGUUCAAGUGAUUCCCCUGCCUCAGCCUUCUGAGUAGCUGGGAUUACAGGCAUGCACCGCCAUGCCCGGCUAAUUUUGUAUUUUUAGUAGAGAUGGGGUUUCUCCAUGUUGGUCAGGCUGGUCUCGAACUCCCGACCUCAGGUGAUCCACCUGCCUCGGCCUCCCAAAGUGCUGGGAUUACAGGCGUGAGCCGCUGCGCCUGGCCCAGGUACGGGUCUUUCAUAUGGAGCUUCUAGUCAGUUAUUGGUGACAAAGUGCAGAGGUAAAGGGUGAACAGAUUUAGGGGAAGACAGAAGCCUGAGGAUAAUUAAGUACCAAAUUAGUAUCACUAAUAGUGAGUGCUGCUUUUAGUCGCAGUUCAGUAUAAAGGAGGAAGGAAAGAGGAGAGAAUUGGAUUUUCUUGUCUGUUUUUGCCUAAUUGGGUAUGAUGGAUGUGUUUGCCCAGGAACACCACACAGAGAUUUAGGGAAGAAAGUGAUAAAUUCUGUUGUGAAAACAGGGACAUAGAAAGGGCCCUGAAGGAGUUGGUUUUUAAAAUCCAGCUGAAUGUCACUGUAAAUUUUACAGUUUGAUGUUGUGUUUCUAACAGUGGUUCUCAAUCAGGAAUGGUUUUGAAUAUUGCAGGUUAGGUGGGAAUCACUGAUUGAAGGAAGGGGAAAGGCAGGGAGAAAAGUUCCAAUAGAAGGCACAGGACACAAAAUAGUUACAAAUGAAUGGGGGAGUAAUGUCUUCUGCAAGUGAAAUGUUCUCCAGGUUUAGAGUGAUCUCAUUUUACAGGCAAAUGCCUGGGAAUUUGAUAAGACUGUCAACAAUCCACUUCCCCUACAACUAAACCUCAUUUUGAUAACUCGGACUGUGCAGUGGUUUGUACUCCCACCACCAGCUCUCUAAACCCAACGAAAUGUAUCUACAGGACAGGUAGUCUUUUUUUAGGUUGAUCUUGGACUGGCACGGAGAAAGAAAGGUUUGGAUCACUGCUGUGGUUUGAAUGUCCCUGUCAAAACUCUUGUUGAAAUUUAGUUGUCAAUGUAACAUUAUUGGGAGGUGAGGUCUCUAAGAGGUGAUUCGCUCAUGAGGGCUCUGUCUUCAUCAGUGGGUUGGUGCAGGUAUCAUAAGACUGGGUUAGUUAUUGUGGGAGUGGCUCCCGAGAAAAGGAUGAGCUUGGCCUGAUUUCCUCUCUCCCAUCUCAUAUGCUUGUUCAUCAUGUGAUGCUUUUCACAAUAGAAUGAUCCCUACCAGAUGUCAGCACCAUGCUCUUGGACUUACCAGUCUUAAGAACUCUGAGAAAUAAAUCUAUUUUCUUUGUAAAUUAUGCAGUUUGUGGUAUAUUUUUAUAGCAGCAGAAAAUGGACUAAGACAAUCACAAGUUUCAAUUGUGAUCCAAGGGUCAGGAAAGGGAUUCUGGUAGGAUAAACUGUCCUUGCUUCUUCACACUCACCCUAUCUAUUCAAAGACUCUGGCAUCUAUACAAAACAAACCAGAAAAAAACUUAAUGAGAGCUGGAGAUGGCAGAAAGAGAGUCACUUAUAGCUAGUGUGAUGACUGUCACAGGUUGUAUCAGGCCCAGGAAAGAGUAAACAGCUCCGUCAUACUAUCAUGCCACAGCUCAUGAAGGGGGAUGGUCAAAGUCACAGAGACUCUAGGGAUAUUCUUUCUUCACAUGAGAUUACAUUGUGGUGUUUCCAAGGGAAAUUAAUGCUUGACUUGGCAAGGUGUUCUUUGCAAUUUCCAAAUAAACCAGUUGGGAGUUAGCCAGAGUGCUCUUAGAGUAAAUUAAGAUAUUAAAUUGGAAUUGGGCACCCAAUGUUGUUUUCAUUUACAGAACUGGAGCUCAUCCCUACUCUGCUCAUGCCUCAAACCUCCACUCAGUCCCACCAAAGUUGAGGCAUUUGUAAGAAGCAAGUGGGAAUCCAAGGUGCAGAACUCCUUUCCUGGUUAAGAGGGGUGGAAUUUGCAGAGGGAAGGAGAGGGUACUCCAUGCACUGAGACUUAGUAAAAAGGACUAUGGAAUAAAAGGGGGGAAAUCGAAGUGAGAGUGAGAAAUAUGAAUGAAGGAGUUGGUUUUUAAAAUCCAGCUGAAUGUCACUGUAAAUUUUACAGUUUGAUGUUAUGUUUCUAACCUAACGGUUCUCAAUCAGGAAUGGUUUUAUGUUGUUGUUUUGUUUUGUUUUUGUGUUUGUUUUUGAGACGGAGUCUCACUCUUGUUGCCCAGGCUGGAGUGCAAUGGCGUGAUCUUGCUCAUUGCAACUUCUGCCUCCCAGGUUCAAGCGAUUCUCC
rnacentral:lncRNA from 1 species